rnacentral:ncRNA from 1 species
GUUCGGAUCGCGGCGACAGUGGUGGUUCGCCGUCUGCGACGUCGCGAGAAGUCCACUAAACCUUAUCAUUUAGAGGAAGGAGAAGUCGUAACAAGGUUUCCGUAGGUGAACCUGCGGAAGGAUCAUUG